CUACCCUUGACAUGUAUGGAACCUGGCUGAGAGGUCGGGGUGCCCGAAAGGGAGCCAUAACACAGGUGCUGCGUGGCUGUCGUCAGCUCGUGUCGUGAGAUGUUGGGUUAAGUCCCGCAACGAGCGCAACCCUUGUCCCUAGUUGCUACGCAAGAGCACUCUAGGGAGACUGCCGGUGACAAACCGGAGGAAGGUGGGGAUGACGUCAAGUCCUCAUGGCCCUUACGGGUAGGGCUUCACACGUCAUACAAUGGUCGGAACAGAGGGUCGCCAACCCGCGAGGGGGAGCCAAUCCCAGAAAACCGAUCGUAGUCCGGAUCGCACUCUGCAACUCGAGUGCGUGAAGCUGGAAUCGCUAGUAAUCGCGGAUCAGCAUGCCGCGGUGAAUACGUUCCC
rnacentral:rRNA from 1 species